CACUAGGGGUGUUUUUUAAACUGAGAUGAGAUUUACUCAAACCCUUUGAACCUGAUCUAGCCAAGACUAGCGAAGGAAAGUGUUAGA
rnacentral:ncRNA from 1 species